AGGGGGUGCUAAUACAUGCAAGUCGAGCGGACAGAAGGGAGCUUGCUCCCGGAUGUUAGCGGCGGACGGGUGAGUAACACGUGGGUAACCUGCCUGUAAGACUGGGAUAACUCCGGGAAACCGGAGCUAAUACCGGAUAGUUCCUUGAACCGCAUGGUUCAAGGAUGAAAGACGGUUUCGGCUGUCACUUACAGAUGGACCCGCGGCGCAUUAGCUAGUUGGUGAGGUAACGGCUCACCAAGGCGACGAUGCGUAGCCGACCUGAGAGGGUGAUCGGCCACACUGGGACUGAGACACGGCCCAGACUCCUACGGGAGGCAGCAGUAGGGAAUCUUCCGCAAUGGACGAAAGUCUGACGGAGCAACGCCGCGUGAGUGAUGAAGGUUUUCGGAUCGUAAAGCUCUGUUGUUAGGGAAGAACAAGUGCAAGAGUAACUGCUUGCACCUUGACGGUACCUAACCAGAAAGCCACGGCUAACUACGUGCCAGCAGCCGCGGUAAUACGUAGGUGGCAAGCGUUGUCCGGAAUUAUUGGGCGUAAAGGGCUCGCAGGCGGUUUCUUAAGUCUGAUGUGAAAGCCCCCGGCUCAACCGGGGAGGGUCAUUGGAAACUGGGAAACUUGAGUGCAGAAGAGGAGAGUGGAAUUCCACGUGUAGCGGUGAAAUGCGUAGAGAUGUGGAGGAACACCAGUGGCGAAGGCGACUCUCUGGUCUGUAACUGACGCUGAGGAGC
rnacentral:rRNA from 1 species